UGGGGAAUUUUGGACAAUGGGGGAAACCCUGAUCCAGCCAUCCCGCGUGUGCGAUGAAGGCCUUCGGGUUGUAAAGCACUUUUGUCAGGAAAGAAACGUCAUGGGUUAAUACCCCGUGAAACUGACGGUACCUGCAGAAUAAGCACCGUCUAACUACGUGCCAGCAGCCGCGGUAAUACGUAGGGUGCAAGCGUUAAUCGGAAUUACUGGGCGUAAAGCGUGCGCAGGCGGUUCGGAAAGAAAGAUGUGAAAUCCCAGAGCUCAACUUUGGAACUGCAUUUUUAACUACCGGGCUAGAGUGUGUCAGAGGGAGGUGGAAUUCCGCGUGUAGCAGUGAAAUGCGGAGAUAUGCGGAGGAACACCGAUGGCGAAGGCAGCCUCCUGGGAUAACACAGACGCUCAUGCAAGAAAGCGUGGGGAGCAAACAGG
rnacentral:rRNA from 1 species